rnacentral:misc_RNA from 1 species
UGAUAUCCCUCCUAGACCAAACAACAAAUUAAUCGCAGAUGCUGAGAAUGAAAAAAGAGUGCUAAUGCAGGAUGCAACUGACGUGAUUAUCCCCUUGCAAGAUGCGGUUGAUUUGGAGAUGGCAACAGAGGACGAAAUAACAUAGCUCAGGAAUUGGAAACUUUAUUGAUUAAAUGUCUAUCGUACUGAUACCUCAAC